CGAACCUUCUGUAACUCUGAUCUCUCGGUUAUGUUUGCAGAACUCGUGCAUCUUCUUUUCUAAGGCCUCGAUAAGUUAUUAAAUGGGACUACAGCCGCAUCGCUUAUGACAGCCCUGACACCCGUCAUUACUCACCUCUUUCACAGCAUCCACCUCCCAGAAAAGGUGGCAUUCGGUACAUUACAGCAGCUUAAUGCCAGCACAGCAUAAAAGUGUCACAGAUGCUCGCCAUCACCCAUCAUAAAUAAAACAUCAGGCUCCGUGCAAGGUCUGUGGAUCAUCAGUGUGUUUGAUGUGAUUGGUUUUGGCGUGUGACGGCGCAGAACUGGCAAGUCGCAGGACACCCUUUGUUGCUACAAAUGGGCUAUUGAUUUCCAGCCACGCCGUUUGCACCCAGGCCCACACCUGCUACUGGACUUUGUGAAACUCGCAGGACAUGGGGAAAAGUUUAAGUGAGAGAAAUGCCAUUUUACAGGACGGUGUGUGCAAGAUCACGGAUUUCACUUGGGUUGGUGAAAGAGGAGGCUGUGGCCAUCAUUUUCCUGGCCUGUGGUAACGCAAGGGGGAGCCCGUGCAGUUUUCAAGUAACAAAGGCGGCAGCAGUACAGGUUUUUCUACCCCAAAUGCAAAGGUUUGGUCUCCAAUCAGAAAAAAAAAAAAAAAAAAAAGAGAGGCCUGACAGCCAUUUCUUACCCUCUUCACAAGGAGACCACUUCUGGUUCAUAAAGGGACAGGCCACAGAUCUCCAGGAGAGGGAAAGCGUAGGGCUGAACUCCUGUCUCAUUAUUCCCUGUUCUUACCUCAUUUGUUCUUUCAAAGCACUACAAGAGUCUCAUGGAAAGACGUUGAUACCCGAGUUAACUCUGAGUGGCCUCAUGGUCAACCUUUGGCCACCAUAAGGCCAUGGGAUGAUCCCUUUACCCUUCAUUAAAUGACUCUACUAGAGGAGAUGUGUCAGCAGGGCUCUGAACCUCGUAUUUCAGAGACCUUUGCUUGCAUUCAGGAGGAGAGUUUCAGCCCCUGGGGCAAGAGCAUCCAUUUGUUUUCAUCUCUGAAAAGAGACAGCAUUUUUUGCUCUCCCUCACCAUCCAGUUUUCAAUGCAGAGUGCCCCAUUAUAUUUCUGUGUUCAAGUUUUCCAGGAUCACGAUAAGCACUAACUGAAACUUUUUUCCCUUUCUCUCGUUUGUAAGGAUUACAAUGAAAAAACAUCUCACAAGUCACUGACUUGCACAUUUCUGCUUCCUCCGUGGUUCCGUGUCCUAAUUUUAAAGCACUCCACAGCAUAUAUUUAAUUAGCGCAGCAGCUCCAUCUGCUCCGUGAGCCAAUACUGACAACUUUGCUGUUACAACGCGCGGAUGUCUCCCCGUGCAGCUGUGCUCAGUCUGACAGGAGAGGAGGAGGGCCCGCUGUGCUCAGGGCACCAUCUCCCAACAAGCUCCAUGGCACGGGGACCGAGACGCCACAGGGGAAGGGAGCAGCAAUGGCGGGCGCUAGGCCCCAGCCUAGGCCCCAACACUGCUGAUUUCAACCACCCCAUAGCCUGAGGUGCAGGCAGCCAUGCUCUCCAGUUCCCCUACAGCAGAAAGCCUCAGGGGCUCAUAGGAUCACAAGAUGGUUUGGGUUGGAAGGGAGCUUAAAGAUCACCCAGUUCCAACCCCCUGCCAUGGGCAGGGACACCUCCCACCAGGCCAGGUUGCCCAAAGCCCCAUCCAGCCUGGCCUUGAGCACCUCCAGGGAUGGGGCAGCCACAGCUGCUCUGGGCGACUGCCUCACCACCCCCAUCUCCUCUCGGGUCUCCCUGCUGGGGAGCCCUGCCUGGCACCCACCAGGACUCCAUCUCAUCCCAUUUACCACACAACAGCUUCCUCAGCACUGCAGUGCCAUCAGGUUCCUGACCAGGAACCUUGUAAUUGUUCUUGUUCUUGUAAUCAUCUCCCUCAAGCUCACAGUGUUAAGGUAAUACAGAAGAAGAAGGAAUGGUGUCCUCUCCAUUCAGGUCCUGCCUCAGUCAUAACCUAGGGGCCAGGCUUAGCUGACCACGAGAUAAAUGCAGAAGAGGUAGGAGGAGGUAUCUGAGUCAACAGAAGGCGAAUCUCAGUGUUUCAGAUUGAGAAAGGAAGGUGCAAAGGAUGAACUGUUGAACUCAACAGGAGGGGAAGCAUAAACAAAAGACUGGAGAAAGGGAGGGAUCAAUUAUCUAAACCUGUUUUCCCCGCUGAAGCCCUAGAUAAGCAGUAUACCAAUUCUGACCUGGGGCUGCUGUUAAUUGAAAUAAUAUUUAGGCUAUUUCCCCCCCACACCUUUUGAUUGAAAUGGCUGUGACGGUUUUACUUGCCCUCAGGCAGCAGAUGAAUUUUAACUUUUACCUUUCCAUAGAAGCAUCAGUCUUGUUAUAGGAAGGGCAUUUGGACAUUUGCACCAUCAGCAUGGGACACAGCUCAACCUCCACCAGAGCGCGGGCAAACCAGAGGAAGGCGGGUUCAGGCAGCACCCCACAGGAUCCUCAGUGCAAGCAUGCGCCAGCAUGCAGGUAGCAACUAAAUCAGUGAGAAACAAAUCAGUUAAUCCGGCAAUACUGCAAUAAAUUGGCCCUGAAGCAAGUCAAUUCAGUUAAUGAGGCAGGAGAGUAAUGCAGGUUAACCAAGGAAAGCAUAAACGCAGACAUUUAACAGACACUUUGAAGUCCUGGUUGCAGCUGCCAGCAAAAGAUUUUAUUUAAUUUUUUUUGGCCAACUUCUGGCCAUGCAGCUCUCCCUCUAGCCAAAGCUCUGAGAGACAUAACUGCAGAGCAGAGCUCAGGCCUGCUCAGCUUAAGACUUGAGGGCCUGCUCCUCUUAGAAAAGCUCAUCUCUUCAUCGACUGCAGGCAAAUCAGGCUGACAUUUUUUUAUUUUUUUUUUACUCCUUUAAAUCUCUUUGCUCUGCUAGAAAUGUCAGAACCCAGAUUUUGCUUCGUCUUGGCUUAUCCACCAUUGCCUUGGUGGGGCUAAGUUAAGUGACUCAGGGAAUGUGCCUCUCAACACAAGAGAGGCUAACUACUUAAACAUAACCAAGGGACAGCUGAUUGCCAGGGAGUUUCUUAGGAAUAACUUCCAAAGGUGGGUGUGAUGCUCCAAUAACACUUACCCCCCACCUGGACAGGCUUCCGAAGUGAAAGUUAUACCUCAGAAAAUACAUACAUACAGUUUGUUAGAAAAUUGUGUACGAGCUGAAAGCAUGACAGCUAGCGAUCAGGCUGAGAUCAUUAGGAAGGAAAUGCUUAAAAGGUAGCUUAUGGGGCAUUGCAGCAGCACUGUGACAGAUCCUGGUAAUGAGGGAGAUGAGCUACACGGAUAUUUGGCUCAUUCUAAAAGCAAUAAGCCCCAGGAAGGCAGCAACACUACAGCACUGGUUACCAAUGAGGAGGUUGUGCCAUGCUCUGAAUGCACAAGCAGAAUGCCAACGGGUUGCUCAUGCACAACAAAAUGCAUUAUGUAAGAGCACUAUGGCAGAAAGCAAGGUAAAAAAAAAAAAAAAAAAAAAGCUUUUAUGCCACCAAAAAGGCUUGCAUUCAAGCAGCCGAGUUACUCCUCAAUCCCAUUGUAGCUUCCUAUUUGAAGUUAUCUUCCAGGAAACAAUGUAAAUGCGUUCAUUUUCUGCCACCAGCUAUCUACCUCCUCCUGUUCAUGCAUUUCUGCGAGUCGCAGAUAUGGCUAUCAGCAAGUUUCAAAGGACAUGAAAGGUUGGAUUAUAAAGGUAGGGUGGCUCUUUUCUUUUUUUCUUCAGUUGAAAGCUUUCCUUUCCUUUCAGUCCCCAACCUUUGCCUCUGCUACAGCUGCCAAAUUCUGCGAACAAAUCCACGUCUUUUUGAGUCAGAUAGUUCCUGGUUGGGCAAAAUUGUGUAAAAUAUACCAUGCACUUAAUCAUAAACUCAUCUUUGAUAGUAAUGCACCAAAAUGAAGUCAAUGACUUUAGCUUCAGUCCUCAUGAAAUAAGAGCAUGCUAACGCCCUUUGUGAAAGGGCAGAGAUGUCCAGAAAAGUCAAGAGUUGCAAAAACUGUACCUUGCUUUCCAAGUCCCAGUUUAAAGCCAGAACAAAAUAACCUUUACCCUUGGUUUAAAAAUAAAUGUUAACCUUUCUAAAGAUGCUCCCAGCCAGUCAACCUACUGAUCUAGUUCAGUACGCUAUGGAGAGUCCAGGAGGGGGAACAAAAUUCUUUAUGAAGCCUGUCCAUGUGCAUAUAUUCCUCUUCAAACAAGGAAGGGGUACAGCAGGGAGUGAGAAAUCUCAGUAAUUUCUCUGCAAGGGGAUAAACUUUAGCUCACAUGACACGAUGCCCCAGAAGCACCACAAAUUCAGUGUACCAGAGGCAUGUUAGUAUGAAUUAAGACACAGCUGCAGCAAGAUUACUCCUCUACUAGCAGGGUGCUACAUGGAAAAAUUUCCAGCUUGCUCAGGAAACCCUAAACUUGUAAUCACUUGCCUAGGCCAUGGUGGUGUCCAUGCUAAUUAUCACCUUCAGUCUAAAAAAACAACUGAAAAGACCAAAAAAAGCACUUUCCAUGGACACCAAGGAAAAAGGAAUCAUUCCAUAAAAUUAUAAAUACAGAAACUGUUACUAAAGAACACCUGAGUUACUUGCAAAUAAAACAUUUCUUUUUUCCUCUAUGUUAUUUAAUAAGUUUUUAAGAAGGUAUUUUGAAGCUCAAAUUACAAUACAAUCUUCUAUAGCUCUAUAGUAGGCAGUACUAUAAGCAUUUAUCAAACCGUGUAUUUUUUGUGUUUGUUCCUCUGCUGUUGUUGUUUCAGAAGAAUCUCAGCACCUCCUAUCAAUGACAAUCCUGCUCUAACUUGGCUGUUGCAUCCUGGAACAGAGUAAGGCCAACUGCCUGUUACCAUAGCCCGCUCCCAAAAUAUAGACCAAAUGUUAUGAAGGAACAGGACACUGUGGCACUAAUUCAGCUU
ensembl:lncRNA